GGCCUCGUGGCCCAAUGGCAAGGCGUCUGACUACGACGGAGAGUUCAGUAAACGGAUUCUUUCGGGUGAUCAGGAGAUUCUGGGUUCGACCCCCAGCGAGGUCA